rnacentral:rRNA from 1 species
UGUGAGCUCGAUGAGUAGGGCGGGACACGUGGUAUCCUGUCUGAAUAUGGGGGGACCAUCCUCCAAGGCUAAAUACUCCUGACUGACCGAUAGUGAACCAGUACCGUGAGGGAAAGGCGAAAAGAACCCCGGCGAGGGGAGUGAAAAAGAACCUGAAACCGUGUACGUACAAGCAGUGGGAGCACCCUUUGGGGUGUGACUGCGUACCUUUUGUAUAAUGGGUCAGCGACUUAUAUUCUGUAGCAAGGUUAACCGAAUAGGGGAGCCGUAGGGAAACCGAGUCUUAACCGGGCGUUAAGUUGCAGGGUAUAGACCCGAAACCCGGUGAUCUAGCCAUGGGCAGGUUGAAGGUUGGGUAACACUAACUGGAGGACCGAACCGACUAAUGUUGAAAAAUUAGCGGAUGACCUGUGGCUGGGGGUGAAAGGCCAAUCAAACCGGGAGAUAGCUGGUUCUCCCCGAAAGCUAUUUAGGUAGCGCCUCGUGAAUUCAUCUCCGGGGGUAGAGCACUGUUUCGGCUAGGGGGCCAUCCCGGCUUACCAACCCGAUGCAAACUGCGAAUACCGGAGAAUGUUAUCACGGGAGACACACGGCGGGUGCUAACGUCCGUCGUGAAGAGGGAAACAACCCAGACCGCCAGCUAAGGUCCCAAAGUCAUGGUUAAGUGGGAAACGAUGUGGGAAGGCCCAGACAGCCAGGAUGUUGGCUUAGAAGCAGCCAUCAUUUAAAGAAAGCGUAAUAGCUCACUGGUCGAGUCGGCCUGCGCGGAAGAUGUAACGGGGCUAAACCAUGCACCGAAGCUGCGGCAGCGAACGUAUCACCCAAGACAACUUUGCGGAGUUGACGAUUGACGGAGCGAAGCGACGUCAAAGCGUUCAUUAAAGUCGAGUUGGCUUAGGGAUACGUUCGUUGGGUAGGGGAGCGUUCUGUAAGCCAGUGAAGGUGUGUCGUGAGGCAUGCUGGAGGUAUCAGAAGUGCGAAUGCUGACAUAAGUAACGAUAAAGCGGGUGAAAAGCCCGCUCGCCGGAAGACCAAGGGUUCCUGUCCAACGUUAAUCGGGGCAGGGUGAGUCGACCCCUAAGGCGAGGCCGAAAGGCGUAGUCGAUGGGAAACGGGUUAAUAUUCCCGUACUUGGUGUUACUGCGAAGGGGGGACGGAGAAGGCUAUGUUGGCCGGGCGACGGUUGUCCCGGUUUAAGCGUGUAGGUGUGUGUUCCAGGUAAAUCCGGUUCACUUUAACACUGAGGCGUGACGACGAGGCACUACGGUGCUGAAGCAACAAAUGCCCUGCUUCCAGGAAAAGCCUCUAAGCAUCAGGUAACAUCAAAUCGUACCCCAAACCGACACAGGUGGUCAGGUAGAGAAUACCAAGGCGCUUGAGAGAACUCGGGUGAAGGAACUAGGCAAAAUGGUGCCGUAACUUCGGGAGAAGGCACGCUGACACGUAGGUGAAGUGAUUUACUCAUGGAGCUGAAGUCAGUCGAAGAUACCAGCUGGCUGCAACUGUUUAUUAAAAACACAGCACUGUGCAAACACGAAAGUGGACGUAUACGGUGUGACGCCUGCCCGGUGCCGGAAGGUUAAUUGAUGGGGUCAGCGCAAGCGAAGCUCCUGAUCGAAGCCCCGGUAAACGGCGGCCGUAACUAUAACGGUCCUAAGGUAGCGAAAUUCCUUGUCGGGUAAGUUCCGACCUGCACGAAUGGCGUAAUGAUGGCCAGGCUGUCUCCACCCGAGACUCAGUGAAAUUGAACUCGCUGUGAAGAUGCAGUGUACCCGCGGCAAGACGGAAAGACCCCGUGAACCUUUACUAUAGCUUGACACUGAACAUUGAGCCUUGAUGUGUAG